GCGGGCGUAGCCGAAUUGGCACAGGCGCCAGACUUAGGAUCUGGUGGGUUCGCCCAAUGUGGGUUCGAGUCCCACCGCCCGCACCA
rnacentral:tRNA from 1 species